UGGGGAAUAUUGGACAAUGGGCGAAAGCCUGAUCCAGCCAUGCCGCGUGAGUGAUGAAGGCCCUAGGGUUGUAAAGCUCUUUUGUGCGGGAAGAUAAUGACGGUAACGCAAGAAUAAGCCCCGGCUAACUUCGUGCCAGCAGCCGCGGUAAUACGAAGGGGGCUAGCGUUGCUCGGAAUUACUGGGCGUAAAGCGUGCGUAGGUGGUUGUUUAAGUCUGAUGUGAAAGCCCUGGGCUUAACCUGGGAAUGGCAUUGGAAACUGGGCAGCUAGAGUGCGGUAGAGGGUAGUGGAAUUCCCGGUGUAGCAGUGAAAUGCGUAGAGAUCGGGAGGAACAUCUGUGGCGAAGGCGACUGCCUGGACCAGCACUGACACUGAGGCACGAAAGCGUGGGGAGCAAACA
rnacentral:rRNA from 1 species